rnacentral:rRNA from 1 species
CCUACGGGGGGCAGCAGUGAGGAAUAUUGGUCAAUGGACGAGAGUCUGAACCAGCCAAGUAGCUUGAAGGAUGACUGCCCUAUGGGUUGUAAACUUCUUUUAUAUGGGAAUAAAACGUUCCACGUGUGGGAUUUUGUAUGUACCAUAUGAAUAAGGAUCGGCUAACUCCGUGCCAGCAGCCGCGGUAAUACGGAGGAUCCGAGCGUUAUCCGGAUUUAUUGGGUUUAAAGGGAGCGUAGGUGGAUUGUUAAGUCAGUUGUGAAAGUUUGCGGCUCAACCGUAAAAUUGCAGUUGAAACUGGCAGUCGUGAGUACAGUAGAGGUGGGCGGAAUUCGUGGUGUAGCGGUGAAAUGCUUAGAUAUCACGAAGAACUCCGAUUGCGAAGGCAGCUCACUGGACUGCAACUGACACUGAGGCUCGAAAGUGUGGGUAUCAAACAGGAUUAGAUACCCUAGUAGUC